GACGUAGGUGGCAAGCGUUGUCCGGAAUUAUUGGGCGUAAAGGGCGUGUAGGCGGCCUAUUAAGUCAGGCGUGAAAUCCCUGGGCUUAACCUUGGGACUGCGUUUGAUACUGAUGGGCUUGAGGACAGGAGAGGAAAGCGGAACUCCGUGUGUAGCGGUGAAAUGCGUAGAUAUACGGAAGAACACCAGUGGCGAAGGCGGCUUUCUGGACUGUCCCUGACGCUGAGGCGCGAAAGCGUGGGGAGCAAACAGG
rnacentral:rRNA from 1 species